AUAUGCCAGUGUGCCUGCUAUCUACAUGGAUGUUUGGUCCCUUGAAAUCCUGCUUUAGCCUUGAUUCUCUAAGCCAAGAGCAUUGAGGUGCAUUUACAACUUGAAGUGUGAGAAAUUCACCACCAGCUGGGGACUGAGACCAAAUGGCUUUCUCACUGCUGUCAGGCUUUUCUGUAGCAGGACUCGGUGUGCACUGCAGAUCUCACACCUCUGACAAUCUCAACCAGAUGGGAUGAGGGCCAUUCAGGCACAGUGACUGGAAUUCUUGGACGUAGUGGCUGCUACAUCAGGGCCAGAUUCCUGUGAGAAGAUCUUCCUUGCCAACCUAAGAAAUUAACCAAAAGAUUCUAAAGUUUAUCUGGAAAUGAUGCAUGCAAGGAAAGUCAAGAAAAUUCUGGAAAAGAAGAGGGUAAUUGUCUGGUAAUUGUCCUAUAGCUAU